rnacentral:rRNA from 1 species
AGAGUUUGAUCAUGGCUCAGAAUCAACGCUGGCGGCGUGCCUAACACAUGCAAGUCGAACGCGAAAGUCCCGCAAGGGAUCAGUAGAGUGGCAAACGGGUGAGUAACACGUGGGUGACCUGCCUUCGAGUGGGGGAUAACGUCCCGAAAGGGACGCUAAUACCGCAUGACAUCCUGCCUUUGAAGAGGUGGAGCUUAAAGCUGGGGAUCGCAAGACCUAGCGCUUGAAGAGGGGCCCGCGCCUGAUUAGCUAGUUGGUGAGGUAACGGCUCACCAAGGCAACGAUCAGUAUCCGGCCUGAGAGGGCGGACGGACACACUGGGACUGAGACACGGCCCAGACUCCUACGGGAGGCAGCAGUGGGGAAUUGUUCGCAAUGGGCGCAAGCCUGACGACGCAACGCCGCGUGGAGGAUGAAGAUCUUCGGGUCGUAAACUCCUUUCGAUCGAGACGAACGGCCCCUGGGCUAAUCACCAGGGGAGUGACGGUACCGAGAGAAGAAGCCCCGGCUAACUCCGUGCCAGCAGCCGCGGUAAUACGGGGGGGGCAAGCGUUGUUCGGAAUUACUGGGCGUAAAGGGCUCGUAGGUGGCCAACUAAGUCAUACGUGAAAUCCCUCGGCUUAACCGGGGAACUGCGUCUGAUAUUGGAUGGCUUGAGGUUGGGAGAGGGAUGCGGAAUUCCAGGUGUAGCGGUGAAAUGCGUAGAUAUCUGGAGGAACACCGGUGGCGAAGGCGGCAUCCUGGACCAAUUCUGACACUGAGGAGCGAAAGCCAGGGGAGCAAACGGGAUUAGAUACCCCCGUAGUCC